GAUUUUGUAGCUCAAUUGGAAAGAGUAUUUGCCUACGAAGGAAAGGGUUGAAGGUUCGAGUCCUUCCAAAAUCA
rnacentral:tRNA from 1 species